rnacentral:lncRNA from 10 species
UAAAAAGGCCAUGUGGCACAGUGGAAAGAAUACUGGAAUGAGAAUCCGAAGUCUUGGAUUUGAAUCCACUUCAGUUACCAAAGAGCCUGACAAGAAACUGUCAAAUGGGGCAUUUGGAAAUGACAGACAUCGAAUCAACAGGUUUGCUGCUGUUUUAGGAUUUGCCAAUUGUUAACAUAGUGGCGCAUCUGCUGUUUCAUAAAGGUCAUGCUGUCACAUAAUUCUUGUCUGCAGAGCUUCAUUCACUACAAGCAUCUGGAUCUCAGCUUCAUUUGGUCAGAGGUGAUUUGACUGCCAGCUUUUGUCUUCCUUGACUCCUUCGGGUAGGACUGGGUGGCAACACCCCAUUUUGGGUCAUCUGAAUUCAACUCCUGACUCAAUUACAGCCAUGGUGUCUGCAGAGGUCAUACUCAGAUAGAUCAUUAUUUAUUGUAUGUCAUCUUAGCACUUUAAUAUGAUAGGUUGACUCUUUGUAAAUAGUCACUAAGUAUGGCUUCAGGGGUCUGUGUAGUCUCUAAAGUUUGGUGGUAAACUAAUAAAUAUCAUCCAGGACCAGCUGCUGCAGUCAGACAUUUGUGGCUUAAAAGAAUGACCAGAAGGUAAUUGGAACAUCAACUUCAAUCCCAUUACUAACAUAAAAAUAGUCUUGUAGAAUCUCUCACUUUUUUUGAUCAGUAACUUAAAAUCAUUUAUUGAGGAGAAUUGUCAGGGUAAGAACCACCACUUUUUAAUCAGCGUUUCUCAAAAUGUUGCACUUUCAGGGGAUCAGUGAGAUCAAAACUAUUUUUACAAUAAUCCUAAAAUGUUAUUUGCCCACUUCACUGUUUCUGUCAUAUGUAUACAGUGUAAUUUUCCAGAGCUACAUAAUAUGUGAUGAUGUCAUCAUCCUUACAGUGAAUGGAAUUUGUGCAUCUGUAUUCUUGUGUCUUAAACUUUUCCAUUGUUUUAAUAUGCAAUAUAUAGAUAGAGAAUGAUAAAUAGAUGAUAGAUAGAUAGAUAGAUAGAUAGAUAGAUAGAUAGAUAGAUAGAACCCGCAUAAAUAAAAGCAUCUGGGGAUCCUCAGUGACUUUCAAGAAUAUAAAGGAAUCCCGAGACCAAAAAGUUUGAGAAUGUCUGAUAUAGUUAUUGCAAAGCAUGUUUUGCUACUUGUAUUGUUAGACUCUAUAAGGUAAAUUAUUUUUCAAUGUCUCCUCAAUUCGUAAUCAUUAUAUAAACUGAUGAAAGGCUG